rnacentral:rRNA from 1 species
UCGCGGUGGCGGAGCGUCGUUUGCGACGCCCAACACACAAAACAAGCGGUGAGUGCUUUGGGGUGGGGUGACUGCGUACCUUUUGUAUAAUGGGUCAGCGACUUAUAUUCUGUAGCAAGGUUAACCGUAUAGGGGAGCCGGAGGGAAACCGAGUCUUAACUGGGCGUUAAGUUGCAGGGUAUAGACCCGAAACCCGGUGAUCUAGCCAUGGGCAGGUUGAAGGUUGGGUAACACUAACUGGAGGACCGAACCGACUAAUGUUGAAAAAUUAGCGGAUGACCUGUGGCUGGGGGUGAAAGGCCAAUCAAACCGGGAGAUAGCUGGUUCUCCCCGAAAGCUAUUUAGGUAGCGCCUCGUGAACUCAUCUUCGGGGGUAGAGCACUGUUUCGGCUAGGGGGUCAUCCCGACUUACCAACCCGAUGCAAACUGCGAAUACCGAAGAAUGUUAUCACGGGAGACACACGGCGGGUGCUAACGUCCGUCGUGAAGAGGGAAACAACCCAGACCGCCAGCUAAGGUCCCAAAGUCACAGUUAAGUGGGAAACGAUGUGGGAAGGCUCAGACAGCCAGGAUGUUGGCUUAGAAGCAGCCAUCAUUUAAAGAAAGCGUAAUAGCUCACUGGUCGAGUCGGCCUGCGCGGAAGAUGUAACGGGGCUAAACUGUGCACCGAAGCUGCGGCAGCGACGCUGAUGCGUUGUUGGGUAGGGGAGCGUUCUGUAAGCCUGCGAAGGUGUCCUGUGAGGGAUGCUGGAGGUAUCAGAAGUGCGAAUGCUGACAUAAGUAACGAUAAUGCGGGUGAAAAGCCCGCUCGCCGGAAGACCAAGGGUUCCUGUCCAACGUUAAUCGGGGCAGGGUGAGUCGACCCCUAAGGCGAGGCCGAAAGGCGUAGUCGAUGGGAAACGGGUUAAUAUUCCCGUA